AUAGCUCGGUGACAGGACGUAUUCUUGCUUGUGCUACACGUUGUCGAUUGCUCGUCGUCAAUCGCGAUUUAUCUAUUGCAUUACUUUCUUAUACCAUCACUGCGUGCGGUAUUUACAAAGUUUCUCGAGUAUUAUUGUAAUUGCGUUUAUACAUUUCGGUUCUUGUUAACAUUUCUAAGAGUGAGCGCGUCGCGGAACCCUCACGUGUGUGUUGUGCCCCUUCAUAAGAGGAAUAAACUGAAGAUUAAUUGUGUUAUUGUUAAUGCGCCGUUGUGUUGCUUUAAAUGCCCCUUUCGCUCUCAAGAGACUCAAGAUCACGUGCGCACAUAAAGCCUUUCUCUACUACUAUUCAAUUAUGGAAAACCAAAGGAAACAUUUGAGACAUUCUGGAAGAUGAAGAACGUUGAAGCCGCCUAUUCAAUACCGACACAGACCUCAUCGAAGUAUGGUUGAAGAAAACUCGCGAUAUACUAUUUGCGAAGUAGCCGAUGCUUUAAUAAUUCCGCGAACAACCGUCCAUAAUCAUCUGACAAAGCAACAUAAAAACGAACCUUUUUUGAAGAGACUAGUCACUGGAGAUGAAAAUUGGAUACUUUACGAGAAUAUUCAACAUAAACGCUCUUGGG